GAUGAACGCUGGCGGCGUGCCUAAUACAUGCAAGUCGAGCGAACAGACGAGGAGCUUGCUCCUCUGACGUUAGCGGCGGACGGGUGAGUAACACGUGGAUAACCUACCUAUAAGACUGGGAUAACUUCGGGAAACCGGAGCUAAUACCGGAUAAUAUAUUGAACAGCAUGGUUCAAUAGUGAAAGACGGUUUUGCUGUCACUUAUAGAUGGAUCCGCGCCGCAUUAGCUAGUUGGUAAGGUAACGGCUUACCAAGGCGACGAUGCGUAGCCGACCUGAGAGGGUGAUCGGCCACACUGGAACUGAGACACGGUCCAGACUCCUACGGGAGGCAGCAGUAGGGAAUAUUCCGCAAUGGGCGAAAGCCUGACGGAGCAACGCCGCGUGAGUGAUGAAGGUCUUCGGAUCGUAAAACUCUGUUAUUAGGGAAGAACAAAUGUGUAAGUAACUAUGCACGUCUUGACGGUACCUAAUCAGAAAGCCACGGCUAACUACGUG
rnacentral:rRNA from 1 species